CUUUUGAAAGGGAAUUCAAUUACCAAGCUAGCAAGGUUCCAACGAAGCUCCACCGUCCCAUUUGGACCAUUAGAGGAAGUGGAAUUGAGUAAGGAUUUAACAAAUACUGAUCAGAAGGCAGUUGGAACCUAGGUCGAGGUGUCCACAUAGUUUCAUCUUUGUUGGUAGGUAUGUUGGCAUUCAG